CAAGCCAUGGAAGCUGGGGGUGCCUGAAGUUCGUAACCGCAAGGAGCGACCUAAGGCAAAACCGGUGACUGGGGCUAAGUCGUAACAAGGUAGCCGUACCGGAAGGUGUGGCUGGAACACCUCCUUU
rnacentral:rRNA from 1 species